UUUUAAAUGAGAGUUUGAUCCUGGCUCAGGACGAACGCUGGCGGCGUGCCUAACACAUGCAAGUCGAGCGAGGGAUUUAUGACGGAUUCCUUCGGGAUGAAGACAUAAAUCACCUAGCGGCGGACGGGUGAGUAACGCGUGAGGAACCUACCUCCUACAAGGGGAUAGCCUCGGGAAACUGGGAUUAAUACCCUAUGACACUUAAGGAUCGCAUGAUCUUUAGGUUAAAGCGAUAUAGCGGUAGGAGAUGGCCUCGCGUCCCAUUAGCUAGUUGGUGAGGUAACGGCUUACCAAGGCGACGAUGGGUAGCCGGCCUGAGAGGGUGAACG
rnacentral:rRNA from 1 species